GUUAUUGCUUCUUGCUAAAAUUAGCCAGACAGACGUGGAAGGCGAUUAGUCCGUUACUGAACAUUGAGAAGGAUCAAGUGCUGUGCUGAAUUUCGUGAUUCGAGAAUUUAUUCAUUCUUGACCAGACUUGCAAAAAGUUGGUUAACUAAAUGAGGGGGAUUAGAUCGUUGAUUUUUGUGAACUUAUGUGCAGUGCUGUUGAAUAUAAAGGAGUUUAAGGAUUCAUCCAUCUCAACCCAAUCGCUCACCGAAUACACAUUGUGGUAGAUUUAUUUCCGUACAUGCGGACGACAAAGACCCAUCAACAUUGUCACCUGGCGUCACCGUAAUCCCGUGUCAAAAUCGAGAUAGAACAGGAUAGGAACCAGAAAAAAAACAGCAGCUGAAAAAUGAUGGCGGCAUCUUGUCCACCUUUCAA
rnacentral:lncRNA from 1 species